AGGCCUAAAGUGGCCUCUGUCCUCUCAGGCCGCGAGUUUCCUGCUCUGCAGGCUCUUCUAGCAGAGUUUAUCCACGCAAACUUUCAGUAGCCGUUGAAAAGGAGAGGAAGGCACAGUAAAAGGAAGUGAUUGUUGAAGGACACACCAGCUCUGAGAGAAUCCUCUUUCCACCAUCUGUUGAAGAAAACUGCUUGAUAGCAGCUGCAGAAACUGCAUAUCAAGAGUGCCAGGGCAAGACAAGAGGAUGGCCAGCAGGCAGUAGCCAAUUUGGAGCAGGACUGGGGAGGCAAGUCAACAGGAAGAGGACUUGCAAUGCAGAACAAGUACCAAAAGCGUUGAUGGUAAUUUCAAGAUGGAAUCUUGGAAACAUGGAGCUUCUAAGAGCAAGAUUGGCCAAUGGAAGGCACUAGACAGAGGUGCUGGAGAAGGCGAUGGCACCCCACUUCAGGACUCUUGCCUGGAAAAUCCCAUGGAUGGAGAAGCCUGGAAGAGAAAAUGUAGACAUGCAAAAGAGAUACCAGGAGUUUAUGUGCCUGGAGGACAUGUGAGGACAUGUGAGGAC